AGAGUUUUGCUCCUGUUGCCUAGACUGGAGCGCAAUGGCGCGCUAUCAGCUCACUGCAACCUCCGCCUCCUGGGUUCAAGUGAUUCUCCUGCCUCAACCUCCCAAAUGCGGUAAUAGAGGCUGGAGAGGGUAUGUAAUUUUGCUGAUGUCAUGAAGCUAGACUCAGACCCUCUCUGAAAGUAGAGGCUCCAGGAACAAAAUUUGAUGUCUUCUUUCCAUCCUGGGAAUGGACAUAAUGAUAGUCGGAGGUCUGUGUUUUAUGCCAAUGAAAAGUGGGAAUUUUUAGACCCAACCCCUAAGGACCUAGAGGAGUCCAUAGUACAGGAAGAAAAGAAGGAGCCAACCCCUGAAGGAAACAAAGUUUCACAAAGGCUGAAAAAUUUGCCUCAUACUUCCCUCAAAGCCAAACAGUUGCUUCAAACUUCAUCUACAAAUAGAGGAUUUGUACCUCAAUUGAUGGAAUAUUGGUAAUUCUUCUACUCCAUUUGAAGAUGAAAAAUAAAGGCCAAAAUCAUAGGCCUGGCACAGAAGCUGGAUAAUGAAGACAGCUCCGGAGGAACACAUAGAUACACACACAUAUAGACACACACAUAUAUAAAGUACACAGACAUAUUAUUUUUAAAGUUUAUUUUUUAAAGUUUUAAAGUUUCUAAAAUGAAAGCUGGCCCUGCCUCUCUCCCAGAGUGAGCGGAGACAGCGGUUGCAUGAGCAGCUUUCCUUGUGAGGCCACAGGUCCCUCUGGACACGCUGCUGCCUGACCAUGCCUCCUUUCCCUUUCAGCUUUCUCAUAGACCAAUGGGCUUGGAGCAUUAAGGCCAUACCCCUAUUAUGCAUUCUAGUGCGACCUUGUUUACACCUCCCCUGGCUCAGUCACACAGCUGUGUGGUAGGCUACUAGAAGUGUUUAGUAGUUGUCACUGGGAUCAUGC
rnacentral:lncRNA from 1 species